rnacentral:misc_RNA from 1 species
GAAAUGCGAUACGUAGUGUGAAUUGCAGAAUUCCGUGAACCAUCGAAUCUUUGAACGCAUAUUGCGCUCGAGCCCUCGGGCAAGAGCAUGUCUGCCUCAGCGUCGGUUUACACCCUCACCCCUCCCAACUUGUUGGGUAUGUUUGCUUUUUUUGCAAGCCACAGGGGUGGAUCUGGCUUCCCCAAUCAGCCAUCAGGUAGAUUGGGUUGGCUGAAGUACAGAGGCUUAAGCAAGGACCCGAUAUGGGCUUCAACUGGAUAGGUAGCACCGGCUUUUGCCGACUACACGAAGUUGUUGCUUGUGGAUCUUGCUAGAAGCCAAGCAGGAAUGUGCCUUUGGCAUAUCUUAACUUUCGACCUGAGCUCAGGCAAGAUUACCCGCUGAACUUAA